rnacentral:rRNA from 1 species
AUCAUUACAAGCGUAUAUUAAAAUUGUUGCAUUUAAAAAGCUCGUAGUUGAAUAAUAGAUAGAGAAAAUAUAUUUAUAAUAAAUAGAAAUAUUUAUUAAUAUAAAUUCUUCUAUCUUUUAUUUAUUAAUAGUAAAAUAUUAAUAAAUCAUUUACUGUGAACAAAUUAGAGUGUUUAAAGCAAAUUGUAAUAAUAAUUGAAUAUUAUUAGCAUGGAAUAAUAAUAUAUGAUUAUAAUUAUAUAUUAUGGUAAUAUAAUUGUAAUAAUGAUUAAUAGGGAUAGUUGGGGGUAUUCAUAUUUCAUAGUCAGAGGUGAAAUUCAAGGAUUUAUGAAAGAUGAACAAAUGCGAAAGCAUUUACCAAGGAUGUUUUCA